rnacentral:lncRNA from 1 species
AAUUGGUUUUUUAUUAUUAGGUCUUUCCACCUUUCCGUGGAAAGACCUAUUGAAUUUGUUCUGAUUAUUAUUUUUUUUUUUUUCUUCCGCCUAAAUUUUUUUCUUGCGUAGUAUUGAUGUUUCAAAAGAUGUCGCUUAGAUAUUUGGAAUAUGAUGUCGUAUAGUUUAUACGCUUUAAAAAUUUACAACUGCGUAACAAAAUACUUUACGUUGUAAGAGUUAUCUCCCCAAACACUGUUUUUCUUGUGGCCACUACUCCUUCGCAACCGUAAAAGAUUACGACAAAUUUAUUUUACCAAAUUGCUCGUUACUUCUUCAGGAUUAGGAUAUUCAUUUGGACCGAAGCUAUCCGGAGACUCCAUAUGAGAGUUAUUUCCCCUUAUGCAUUUGAUAUAAGUGAUAUGCGUUUCUAACUGGUAAACCAUCAGUGAUAUAGGCCUAGGGUCUUUUGAUUUAAGUUCCUUGGUCCAAAAAAAUGAAAAUAAGGUCAAGGUCAAAGGUCAAGGUCAUAUUCUAAAUUUUGAUUUUGGCUUAUUUUCUCUUAUUUUCAACAACCGUGAAAGAUAUUGACAAAUUAUUUUUACUAAAUUGUGAGUUGCGACAUGUUGUAACUUAUAAAUUUUGGUUGGAAGGGUGCGUAAACAAUAAAUGAGAGUUUUCGCCCAUCUUAUAUUUAAAAUCAUGCCUAAAGUGAUAUAACUCAUUAACCAUACAUAUUACAGACCUAGGGUCUUUUUAUUUGAGGUCCUUGGUUGGUGACCUUGAAAUUGAGGUCAAGGUCAAAGGUUAAUAGGACGUUCUAGAUUUUGACCUUUGCUUUAAAUUCAUAUUUAUACAUUAUAAAGUCAUAGGAACUGACAUUUUAGAUUGAUUUUUAAUAUUUUGAUAAUAAAAUAGAUCUUUACUUGUGGAAAGACCUUCAAUUGUUCUUUGAACAAUUGGUUUUUAAUUAUUAUUUUUUUUUUUUCUUCCGCCUAAAUUUUUUUCUUGCGUAGUAUUGAUGUUUCAAAAGAUGUCGCUUAGAUAUUUGGAAUAUGAUAUCGUAUAGUUUAUACGCUUUAAAAAUUUACAACUGCGUAACAAAAUACUUUACGUUGUAAGAGUUAUCUCCCCAAACACUGUUUUUCUUGUGGCCACUACUCCUUCGCAACCGUAAAAGAUUACGACAAAUUUAUUUUACCAAAUUGCUCGUUACAUCUUCAGGAUUAGGAUAUUUCAUUUGGACCGAAGCUAUCCGGAGACUCCAUAUGAGAGUUAUUUCCCCUUAUGCAUUUGAUAUAAGUGAUAUGCGUUUCUAACUGGUAAACCAUCAGUGAUAUAGGCCUAGGGUCUUUAGAUUUAAGUUCCUUGGUCCAAAAAAAUGAAAAUAAGGUCAAGGUCAAAGGUCAAGGUCAUAUUCUAAAUUUUGAUUUUGGCUUAUUUUCUCUUAUUUUCAACAACCGUGAAAGAUAUUGACAAAUUAUUUUUACUAAAUUGUGAGUUGCGACAUGUUGUAACUUAUAAAUUUUGGUUGGAAGGGUGCGUAAACAAUAAAUGAGAGUUUU